UCGAUUCUUAAAAGGUGUCCCACAUAUCUCUUAGCACCCUGGAUAUUCGUUCGAGAGCACAAUUUCACAGGUUGCUAAGUGGUCUCCCAGUUCCAGAGACUGCUCAACGACAGUAGGGCCCUAGGGUUGUGCAACAUCGCCUCGCCAUUGUACUCCGUGGCACACAACGUUCUGCUACUUUCGCGAGGAUUUAGCACGGUUCCACUGGCCAGCGUAAACAACGUCUCGUUGUCGCACAUGGCCCCGUAAUUAAAAUACGUUUCAAUGAGUGAUUUAUGCG
rnacentral:misc_RNA from 1 species